rnacentral:rRNA from 1 species
UACGGAGGGUGCAAGCGUCAUCCGGAUUUACUGGGUUUAAAGGGUGCGUAGGUGGGUUGGUAAGUCAGUGGUGAAAUCCCCGAGCUUAACUUGGGAACUGCCAUUGAUACUAUCAGUCUUGAAUAUUGUGGAGGUUAGCGGAAUAUGUCAUGUAGCGGUGAAAUGCUUAGAUAUGACAUAGAACACCAAUUGCGAAGGCAGCUGGCUACGCAUAUAUUGACACUGAGGCACGAAAGCGUGGGGAUCAAACAGG